CCUACGGGUGGCAGCAGUGAGGAAUAUUGGUCAAUGGACGAGAGUCUGAACCAGCCAAGUAGCGUGAAGGAUGACUGCCCUAUGGGUUGUAAACUUCUUUUAUAAAGGAAUAAAACGAGGCACGUGUGCCUUUUUGCAUGUACUUUAUGAAUAAGGAUCGGCUAACUCCGUGCCAGCAGCCGCGGUAAUACGGAGGAUCCGAGCGUUAUCCGGAUUUAUUGGGUUUAAAGGGAGCGUAGAUGGGUUGUUAAGUCAGUUGUGAAAGUUUGCGGCUCAACCGUAAAAUUGCAAUUGAUACUGGCAGUCGUGAGUACAGUUGAGGUAGGCGGAAUUCGUGGUGGAGCGGUGAAAUGCUUAGAUAUCACGAAGAACCCCGAUUGCGAAGGCAGCUUACUAAACUGUGACUGACAUUGAUGCUCGAAAGUGUGGGUAUCAAACAGGAUUAGAUACCCCUGUAGUC
rnacentral:rRNA from 1 species